rnacentral:rRNA from 1 species
UACGAAGGGGGCUAGCGUUGCUCGGAAUCACUGGGUGUAAAGGGUGCGUAGGCGGGUCUUUAAGUCAGGGGGGAAAUCCUGGAGCUCAACUCCAGAACUGCCUUUGAUACUGAAGAUCUUGAGUUCGGGAGAGGUGAGUGGAACUGCGAGUGUAGAGGUGAAAUUCGUAGAUAUUCGCAAGAACACCAGUGGCGAAGGCGGCUCACUGGCCCGAUACUGACGCUGAGGCACGAAAGCGUGGGGAGCAAACAGG